GAUGAACGCUAGCGGCAGGCUUAACACAUGCAAGUCGAGGGGUAUAGUUAGCUUGCUAACUUGAGACCGGCGCACUGGUGCGUAACGCGUAUGCAAUCUACCUUCUACAGAGGGAUAGCCCAGAGAAAUUUGGAUUAAUACCUCAUAGUAUCUUUGCCUGGCAUCAGGUGAUUAUUAAAGUUCCAACGGUAAAAGAUGAGCAUGCGUCCUAUUAGCUAGAUGGUAAGGUAACGGCUUACCAUGGCAACGAUAGGUAGGGGUCCUGAGAGGGAGAUCCCCCACACUGGUACUGAGACACGGACCAGACUCCUACGGGAGGCAGCAGUGAGGAAGAUUGGACAAUGGGCGCAAGCCUGAUCCAGCCAUGCCGCGUGCAGGAAGAAGCAUCUAUGGUGUGUAAACUGCUUUUGUACGGGAAGAAACACUCCCUCGUGAGGGAGCUUGACGGUACCGUAAGAAUAAGGAUCGGCUAACUCCGUGCCAGCAGCCGCGGUAACAC
rnacentral:rRNA from 1 species